rnacentral:rRNA from 1 species
GAUGAACGCUAGCGGCAGGCUUAACACAUGCAAGUCGAGGGGCAGCGCGAAUGUUAGCAAUAACAUUUGGCGGCGACCGGCGCAAGGGUGCGUAACGCGUGAGCAACUUGCCCGUUUCUGGGGAAUAACCGGUGGAAACGCCGACUAAUACCCCAUAGUAUUGGAUAUAGGCAUCUUAAUCCAAUUAAAGAAUUUCGGAAACGGAUAGGCUCGCGUGACAUUAGGUAGUAGGUGAGGUAACGGCUCACCUAGCCGACGAUGUCUAGGGGUUCUGAGAGGAAGGUCCCCCACACUGGAACUGAGACACGGUCCAGACUCCUACGGGAGGCAGCAGUGAGGAAUAUUGGUCAAUGGACGAGAGUCUGAACCAGCCAAGUAGCGUGCAGGAUGACGGCCCUCUGGGUUGUAAACUGCUUUUAGUUGGGAAUAAAAAGAGGGACGUGUCCCUAAUUGUAUGUACCAUCAGAAAAAGGACCGGCUAAUUCCGUG